rnacentral:lncRNA from 1 species
CACGGCACACCUUCUGUCCCCUCCGGUGGCCCCCAGCUACCCCCAGCGGGGAGCUGUUUGGGGAGACACAGGCAGCCCCCACUUUGACGGGCUGAGGUUUCAUGAGCCCGUGGAAAGAAGACCCAGCUAAAAUUAACCGUUAUCAAGCUGUCAGCCUGGAAAUAAACCCUCCUCCUAUUGGCUGCUGGUGAUGUCACUGCUGGGUUAAUAAUAACCUGCGAAUGCAUAACUGACCAGCUGGGCAUGUGCCUUCCUGCGGGGCCAAGGCCAGUGGUCACCCUGGGAGCUGCUGCCCGGGCAGUGACUUGGGGGCAGGAUGGGGGUCAGGGCUGAGCACACCCUCCAGCCUUGGGGUGUCUCAGAAUGACCUCAACUCCUGGCCUUGGGCCACAGGCUCCUGUCUGUCCCCAGGACUUCCGGUGUUCACCCUCACGUGCGGGGUCAGUCACAUCUCAUCUCCCAGCCUACCUGGGCAGCAGGACCCUGGACGGCCUUGGGGUCAAGGUCCUCCCUCCCCCAGCUCCCCAGGCUGGACAACCAGGGAACUGAGCUGCCCAUGAGUCCGCACAUUAGGUGGUGUCCAUGGAGGAGGAACUGUCGGCUGCUGCGCUCCCCUCGGAAAAGUGAGAUCGUGGCCCCAAAUCAGAGAAGUAGGGGCCAGAGGGGGCGGUGGGCGGGGCCUGGGGGCCGCGGCCUGGUGGCAGGGCCGGGGCGGGGCUGGAGGGGGGGUGGCGGGCCGGCCGCUUGCGCCCCAACUAGACCCCAAGGCUAGGCAGGGGCCCCACCGAACGUCCAGCCCUGGGCUCGGUCCCUGGGCCGAGUGGAACUGGGUGCAGGGCGUGACUUACUAGACGGUCUAGGCCCCCAAACGGCCCACCUUAAGAAACCCAGCGUGCCUGGAGGGUGGGAGGCCCCGAAGAGGGGGACGCAGCCCCUCAGGGAAGGGAAGGUCAGCCGGGCCUGCCCUACCAGCCACCAGCACUUGGGGCCGCCGAUCCCCCAGCAACACAGCGGGGCGCUGUUGCCAUGGCGAAGGAGCAGAGCUCCACCCAGAGCCCGGGUUAGUGUCACCAGUGCUUGGGAGGGCAGCUUCCUGCCGCCACCAGAGCUCCACCCCUGCCCGGCCUAAGCCCAGCGCCAGCACCGGGGAAGGGGUCUGGCGAGCUUUGCCCUCUGAGCCCCCCAGAGUCCAGGGCUCCGGCCUAGCACCAGGAGGAGGGGGGGCCCAGCCCCUCCCCCAUGUGGUCCAUGGCAGGCUGGGGGGCCACUGGAGAGCCCAGGGGAUGGGUCAGCCUCUCUGGCCAAGAAGGGGCAGCCCCUAUGGUGGGGCCCAGAGACGGAGGGAGCCCCUGGGGAGGGUCUACAGACCCACUGCCCACUCCUCAGGUGCUGCAGGGAGAGGCCUCAGUGCUCAGUUCAAGGAGGAGUGUCUCCAGGCAGACAACCCUGGGGAUCCUGAGGCUCCUUAGCAACCCUGGGCCCAUGUUUUCACCUCGUAGGUAGAGCAAACCCUCGGCAGGCCAAUUGGGAAUAACCUGCCUCCAGAGCAGGAGGCCUCGUGGGUGUCUUAGGGUGACGGGCGCAGGAGGCUGUUGGCGGCAUCCAUCAAUGGUGGAGGUCCAGAGCCUGCCCUGCCCCAGGGGAGACCCCCUCCCUGCUGGCAAGACUGAGGAAGCUGGUCCUUGGUUAGAGAAAAGGUUGGGGGGGGGGGUGCGGGGACUGUCCUUGGAAAUGCUUAGAGAAAAGUGCACAAAUGACAAAGGUACCUGGCCACCCAGAUCAAGAAACACAACACUCCCUCGUGCCCUCAGAGGUGACCACUGUCCUGACUUCUUAGACCGUGCAUCAUGUUGUCUACUCUCAGACUUCACAUACACAGUCUACACGGUAGUUGUUUGUUCUCACUGCCGUACGGGGUUCCGCGUUCAGUGUCGCUCUACGAUAAGGUUGCCGUGUGCCGCUGUGUGUGAACUUGUGCGAGGACGCCACGGGGAUGGGGUUCGGAGCCACAGGUGUGCACCGUCAUCUGUUCACCGCCUCUUGGCUCGAAACUCCCGCUUCAAGACCUGCUCUGUGAUGACGGACAGACUUACCUGAAGCAUUUCUGCUUUACGGUGAGCAGAUCAUUCCAUAGGGCAGGCACUGAAGGAUAAAUUCACCGCUGAGAGACAAUUAAUUGAUCGCUGGCUUUUUUCCUUGCUGGUAUGAGGAAAUUCUCCUAUUUCUUUGCACAUCUAGUAAUUUUUGGCUGAAUGCUGAACGUUCUGUGAAGACUCUGGAUUCUGUUAUCUUCCUCUGGAGACUGUGGGUUCUUAUUUUAGUGGCCAUUCAAUCGCUGGGCCUGUAGGGGCUUGUUCUCAUGCUUUUUGGUGUUGAUUUGUGGAACACCCAACAUAACUUCCCUCAGAUGGAUAAGAUUCAACUUUCAGUCUUGGUCCCCCAGCCUUUCACGAGGCUCAGCUUUAACUUUUCUUAGAUUGGUCCUAGAGUAGACAUUACUGUAGGUGGUACUCUUCUCUCUCUUUUAAUGUUUAUUUAUUUGGGGGAGAGAAAGACAGAGUGUGAGUGGGGGAGGGGCAGAGAGAGAGGGAGACACGCAAUCCAAAGCAGGCUCCGGGCUCUGGGCUCUCAGCACAGAGCCCGACACGGGGCUCGAACCCACAAACCGUGAGAUCAUGACCUGAGCCAAAGUUGACUGAGCCACCCAGGCACCCCAUCUCUCUCUCUCUUUUUUUUUUUAAUUUUAUUUAUUUAAGUAAUCUCUACCCCCAACGUAGGGCCCAAACUCAUGACCAUGAGAUCAAGAGUUGUGUGCUCCUCCGACUGAGCCAGCCCGGUGCCCCUGUAGUCUUAUCUCUUAAAGAAACAAGUCAGAAGGUCUCUCCACCCCAGCCAGGUCCAGAUACCAGUGGUGCCCAGCAUGGGAUGUCUGCUGACAUUCUGGCUCUGAUCUCAACUCACCCCCCCUCCCCAGGAUUCAUGCCCUGGAGUAACUUCUUCCCCCUGAGGGCAGAAAGAGCCUGUGGCUUGCAUCCAGCCAACAGAACAUGACAGAGGGGGUGAGCUAUAACUCCCUUACUUGGCCUACGUUAUUUAAGACCUUGUCUCGGCAGACAGACCGGAACGAGGGAUUCUCCUCUUGCCCUUGAAGAAGAGAACUACCAAGAUGCGAGAAGGCCUGUAAGGGGCCACAGGUCAAGGAACCCCUAAGACCUGUGAGUGGCCUCCAGCUGUCCAGCCAAAGAAAGCAGCCAUGUGACCUUAGAAGAGGACCGCGAGCUUCGUAAGGAAACUGAUGGCUUGGUGGCACCCGUCUGAAGCCCUGAGCAGAGGACCCAGUAAGCCGUGCCUGGACCCCUGACCCAGGGAGCUGGGUGUGCACAAUAAACGCAUGUUUUGUAAAGCCACU